CCUACGGGAGGCAGCAGUGGGGAAUAUUGCACAAUGGGCGAAAGCCUGAUGCAGCAACGCCGCGUGAGAGAUGAAGGCCUUCGGGGCGGAAAGCUCUGUCCGCAAGGAAGAGAAUGACGGUACGUGAGGAGGAAGCCACGGCUAACUACGUGCCAGCAGCCGCGGUAAUACGUAGGGGGCUAGCGUUAUCCGGAAGUACUGGGCGUAAAGGGGGCGUAGGUGGUUUCUUACGUCCGAGGGGAAAGGCUACGGCUCAACCGUAGUACGCCUUUGAAACGGGGAAACUUGAGUGCAGGAGCGGUGCGUGGUCUUCCUCGUGUAGCGGUGCACUGCUUAGAUAUUCUGCG
rnacentral:rRNA from 1 species